AGUGAACGCUGGCGGUAGGCCUAACACAUGCAAGUCGAACGGCAGCACAGUAAGAGCUUGCUCUUACGGGUGGCGAGUGGCGGACGGGUGAGGAAUACAUCGGAAUCUACCUUUUCGUGGGGGAUAACGUAGGGAAACUUACGCUAAUACCGCAUACGACCUACGGGUGAAAGCAGGGGAUCUUCGGACCUUGCGCGAUUGAAUGAGCCGAUGUCGGAUUAGCUAGUUGGCGGGGUAAAGGCCCACCAAGGCGACGAUCCGUAGCUGGUCUGAGAGGAUGAUCAGCCACACUGGAACUGAGACACGGUCCAGACUCCUACGGGAGGCAGCAGUGGGGAAUAUUGGACAAUGGGCGCAAGCCUGAUCCAGCCAUACCGCGUGGGUGAAGAAGGCCUUCGGGUUGUAAAGCCCUUUUGUUGGGAAAGAAAAGCAGCAGGUUAAUACCCCGCUGUUCUGACGGUACCCAAAGAAUAGGCACCGGCUAACUUCGUG
rnacentral:rRNA from 1 species